rnacentral:lncRNA from 1 species
AUGCUGCUCUGGAUGCAGGGCUUCGUGCUGGAGGCGGUGGCCUGCCAGGAUAACGAUGACUACUUACGCUACGGGAUCCUCUUCGAAGACCUGGAUUGCAAUGGGGACGGCGUGGUGGACAUCAUUGAGCUCCAGGAGGGGCUGAGAAACUGGAGCUCCGCGUUUGACCCCAACUCCGAGGAGCAUGGAUAGUGAUGGAUCAAUGACAGUAGACUGGGAUGAAUGGAAGUACUACUUUUUACUGCAUCCUGCAACAAAUAUCACUGAAAUGAUUCAUUUCUGGAAGCAUUCUACUUUAAUUGAUAUAGGAGAGAGUAUAGCUAUUCCAGAUGAAUUUACCGAACAAGAAAAGCAGUCUGGAGAUUGGUGGAAGCGUUUGGUGUCAGCAGGAAUAGCUAGUGCGGUUGCACGGACAUGCACGGCACCUUUAGACCGCUUGAAAGUCAUGAUGCAGGUUCAUAGUUUAAAGUCAAGGAAAAUGAGAUUGAUUAGUGGCCUUGAGCAGUUGGUGAAAGAAGGAGGGAUUUUUUCCCUUUGGUGAGGAAAUGGUGUAAAUGUUUUAAAAAUUGCACCAGAGACAGCACUCAAGGUUGGGGCCUAUGAACAGUAUAAGAAAUUGCUUAGUUUUGAUGGUGUUCAUUUAGGAAUUCUUGAAAGAUUUAUAUUUGGCUCAUUGGCUGGUGUAACUGCCCAGACCUGUAUUUACCCCAUGGAGGUACUAAAGACCAGACUGGCUAUAGGUAAAACUGGAGAGUAUUCAGGGAUUAUUGAUUGUGGCAAGAAGCUUCUAAAACAAGAAGGUGUCAGAUCCUUUUUCAAAGGUUAUACUCCUAACUUGCUAGGCAUUGUACCUUAUGCCGGCAUAGAUCUUGCUGUUUAUGAGAUUUUGAAGAAUUUUUGGCUAGAAAAUUAUGCAGGAAACUCUGUGAAUCCUGGGAUAAUGAUUUUGGUGGGAUGUAGUACAUUGUCUAAUACUUGUGGUCAGUUAGCCAGUUUCUCUGUGAACCUUAUUAGAACUCGCAUGCAGGCUUCAGGCCCCAGUGGAAAAAGGAAAAACAACUUCUAUGAUUCAGCUCAUUCAAGAAAUAUAUACCAAAGAAGGAAAAUUGGGAUUUUACAGGGGUUUCACCUCAAACAUCAUAAAGGUGCUUCCUGCAGUAGGCGUUGGCUGUGUGGCCUAUGAGAAAGUGAAGCCACUUUUUGGAUUAACCUGGAAGUGA